rnacentral:rRNA from 1 species
UACGUAGGGUCCGAGCGUUGUCCGGAAUUAUUGGGCGUAAAGGGCUCGUAGGCGGUUCGUCACGUCGGGAGUGAAACGUCGGGCUGACCCUGACGCCUGCUUCCGAUACGGGCAGACUAGAGGUAGGCAGGGGGAGACUGGAAUUCCUGGUGUAGCGGUGAAAUGCGCAGAUAUCAGGAGGAACACCGGUGGCGAAGGCGGGUCUCUGGGCCGAUACUGACGCUGAGGAGCGAAAGCGUGGGGAGCAAACAGG